rnacentral:rRNA from 1 species
AACGAACGCUGGCGGCGUGCCUAACACAUGCAAGUCCAACGAGAAAGGGGUAGUAAUACCCUGAGUAAAGUGGCGCACGGGUGAGUAAUGCAUGGGUAAUCUACCCUCGAGUCUGGGAUAACCUUCCGAAAGGAGGCUAAUACCGGAUAAGAAAGGGGGGACGAAAGUCAUUCCCUUUUAAAGAUGGGGAUCCGAAAGGACCUGUCACUUGAGGAGGAGCCCAUGUCCCAUUAGCUAGUUGGUAGGGAAUGGCCUACCAAGGCGACGAUGGGUAGCCGGUCUGAGAGGGCGACCGGCCACACUGGGACUGAGACACGGCCCCUAUCCUACGGGAGGCAGCAGCGAGGAAUCUUGGGCAAUGGGCGAAAGCCUGACCCAGCGACG